AAAUCUAUGUCCUGUGUCCUCAUUUUAACCUUCAACUUACAAAUUCGACGAUUCCCCACCAACCAAUCUAUUACGUCAGUUACCCCCGACACGCCGGCCCAAUCGAGCUUCGUCGGAGACGGGGCUAUGCGACGUCAACAACUCAACAACGUCAGGCGGCGUGGGUGGCCGAGGUGUGCUGUAAGCGGCGAGCCGCACGCGAUGACGCGGCGUUGGCAGACCGGAUCCAAGCCAGGCGGCGAGCGGCAGUUGAUAGAUCGGCCGUAUCUCGAUCUGGCCGUGCACCUAGUGCUCGGCAUCGGAUGAGGUCCCACGAGUUCAUCCAAGGUCCCGCCGGCGUUUGAACAGUGCGGAGUGGAGCAGCGGCAGAUCGGUACUCGCCGUAUCUCCAGCGUGGUGAGUCUAGAUCCGGGCAGGCAACCGCCGGAUCCAGGCCGUGCGGCGCUGGAGACCCGCGCCUCUAGCUUGUGGUGUCCUGCGUCGGAGGGAAGGGCGCCGACCGGAUGCCGAUCUGUGCUCGGCCGAUGCAUAUCCGUGCGAAUCGACCCCGAAUCGCACCUGCGCUCGACACCAUCAGGUCCCGCUGCCACAGCCCCCUUCAUCUCUCUCCUCGAACGCCGCCUUCGGUCACACAGAUGUGGUCCUCUACGCCGCCGGCUCGGUACAACGUGAUGAGGAGACUGCUCGGUGCCGCCUCAGCCGCUCCUUGAGCGUAGAAGCGGAGCCUGGACCCGGUCACAGGAGUGUCGGUGUCCUCGUGGGAUGUGGAAUCCUCCGCGUCGUCCUCCCUUGCCUCACUUCGUCUGUAUCUUCUGCAUCCUGGCAAUUGUGAAGCCCGAGAGCAGCGACGAGCGUGGCCUCGCACGCUCCAGUGCCAAGAUUUGAGCGGCGUCCGCUACAUCCUCCCUCAAGCAGCAGUGCAGCAUUCGGUCAUGGUGGGCUACUACGACUCCGGCAAGGACGCAGGGCGCUUCAUGGUCGCAUGGGAGCUGUACAAGGCUCAAGUCGCCGUUGGCAAUGAGUUCAUUCAAGAGCUCAGUUAGAGCCUCUCAAUUGAUAGGAUCAAGGUGAUGCGGUGGUAUAGAUCGCAGUUGGAGAAAGGAGUGCCUUUCUUAGUCUAUGGACUGUUGGUGGAUUGCUUGGAGCUUCUUUCUGUAACAAGAAAUUUUAAUACAAUGUAUCUAGGAUUAUUUAAGAACAAAAAAUCUAAUUGCAACUUAUGUGUAGUAAUUAGGUAUUAGUGAUAUACCACGAUGGUACAGUAUACUGAAAGCAUCGAAGAUAUUAGCACGAUAGGAACAAUAAUGUGCUGGAUUUGAGAUGCCAUGCUAUCUUUCUUGGUAUUAAUCAGGAGUAAGGUGUAAGUGCUGUGCUAAAUGAGUAUAGGUUUAAUUUAUGUUCU